UCCCAGACCCCUCACCUUCUGCCUCCCCUUGGUCGCGUCCGGGUCCCUGUGGAGCUAACGAUCUCGCCACGACGUCAAGAAAGACGUAACGUCGGGCCACUGUGGCCUCUGGGAAACGUAGUCCAGAGCCAGACCAGACGCAGAUAAGAUGGCGUCCUCAUACGGCGGAGUCUGAGUUUGGCCGUUUGACAUUGCGCCCGGGGGAGCUUCAAAGACGGAGUCCCUGCUCCAGACCUCCCACCAGGCUUCAGCUGAUUUUCUUCUAAAGCAGGACGACUCACCCUUAGAGCCCCAUAAUUACUGGAAGAAGCAGCCACGUUCGUGUGGGACAGAGUGCUGACCAGCAAAGCCUAAAGGGAAAUGUAGUUCAAGGCCGGAAAAGCGGCGUUGCUGUAGACCGAAGGUAAUCAAAUACCAGGCUAGGCCUGGCCACGGUGACCGUGAGGGCCGCGUCGCGGAGACUUCUGGGAGUGUUCGCUCGCCCUCGGAGUGCGCAGGCGCAGCGCGCCGAGUGGACAUUUUGGUCUUUGUCCGCGGGUCAGUCCGGCCCCUGGGUCCACGUGGCGCGAAAGUAGGAGCAAGCAAGACUAUUUCGAAGGCACUUUUUGUUGGUGGAAGAGCUUCAGACGAUCUCAAAUCUUCUGAUCUAAAGGGUAUUUUAAUAGGGCUGCUGUUAAAUUCUAGAUAAAAUAUCGACGUUGCACUUUGAGCAACAGCGGCAUAUGGCACAGAAAGCCCGGGAUUAGAGUCAAGGGUUUGGAGAUCUAGAUUAGGCAUGGUAAUCUUCAUUAUUUGAAGAAAAUUUAGUUGCUGCAAUGUUUAUUUACUAGUCUGACCUAGAUUCUAGGUGUCUGCCUCCUAAAUGAAUCGAGGUGUCCCAAGUUGGAUGGAUUUUGUGAAGUAACAAAGACCGUUAACUCCUGUCUGCAAAAAUGGUUUUUCUAAGAAAUCCCUACAGCUAUCCCUAACAAUUUAAAAAAAAAAAAAAGAGUUAAAUUAAUUGGGUACCAAUUUAAUAUUUACAAAUCAACAGUCUUCAAAUAAACAGCCAGUUAGGAGACA
rnacentral:lncRNA from 1 species